GCCAAGGUGGCAGAGUAAGUGCAUUGAAUUUAGGAUUCAAGAAUAGGGCUAGUGCCCUCCUGGGCA
rnacentral:tRNA from 1 species